UGAAAAUUAUAAUGGAACAUACAGAAAAUAAUUUGCCAUCGAAUGAUAAGUAAAAUAUGCAAUUCUUAUAUACAAAUUAUUUUCCUUGUUAUAUCUAAUAAAUUGUCAUUGACUAAAAAAAAUUUCCAUGGUAGCUACAAAAACUUCCAAGGUUUAAUUAAAAAAUUGCCAUGGUCUAAUAAGUGAAAUUUCAAUGGGACCUGGAAUAACAUUGCAGAUGGUUUACCUAAAAAAACUGGCCAAAUAUAAAGAAUUCCAAAAUUUUCAUGGACUAAUUAAUAAAAUUGCUAUGUUACAAUUUUUUUACAUGCUACUAAUUACAAGGCAAAAAGUUAUGAAGUAUGUUGUCGAAGAGACAUGGCAACUACUGGAAAUUUGUAUUCGGGGGGACGGGGGCAAAAAUACUUUUUUUUUCAAAUUUCUUCCUUGACAAAAAAUGGAAAUAUGUAGGAAUUCCAAAACGUUCCAUGGUCUAACUAAUAAAAAUGCCACGCUACAUAUGAUAAACUUGCCAUGGUCGUGAAUAGAUUAAAUUGCCAUGCUACAUAUGAUAAAACUACCAUGGUCUAAUAGAUAAAUUUGCCAUGGUAUGAGUAAUACAAAGCAAUCUGCCAUCUUAUAUACAAAUAUUUGUCACGGUUUAACUAAAUAAAUGGCCAUGGACUAACAAAAUUAGAUUGCCAUGGUAGCUACAAAAAUAAAACUACCAUGAUUUAUAAUUCAAAAAUUGCCAUGGAAUAAGUGAAAUUGCGAUGGAACCUAUAAUUAAAUUGCACAUGGUCUAAUUAAAGAAUAGCCAAAUAUAAAAAUUCAAAAUUUUACUAUGGACUAAUUAAUAAAAUUGCCAUGUUUUUUUGUCAUGCUACCAGUAACAAGGCAAAAACUUACGAAGUAUUUUCUCUAAGAGACAUGGAAACUGUUGGAAAAUUGUAAAUGGGGGCAAACAAAUUUUUAGAAAUCAUUUUGUUUGAGAAAGAUGGCAAAUAUAGGAAUUUCAAAAAUUUCCAUGGUCCAAUUAAUAAAAAUUUCAUGGUCCAAUAAAAACGUCAUGCUGCAUACGAUAAAAUUGUGAUGGUCCGAAUAGAUAAAUUUGCCAUGCUACAUAUGAUAAAACUACCAUGGUCCAUUGAAUAAAUUUGCCAUGGUACCUAUGAUAAAUUGCAUGGAAAAUUUAGGAAUUUCUUCUCUUAAAGACAUAUGGCAACGUUUGGCAAAAGUAUAAUGGGCACAAAUAUAGAAACAAGGAUUUGUUUCUUUGAGAAAAAGAUAGUUACUUUCUACGGGCACAUGCCAAUGAUUAGGGAUUUUGUUCUAUAAAAAAUAUGGCAAGCUUUUCAAAUUUGUAAAUGGAAACAUGGCAAAUAUAUUAGAUUUAUUUUUUGAUAAAAAGAUGGCAAAUGUAUCAAAAUUUAGAUGAUUUAAACUUUUUAAAAAUACGGUAAAUUAUGAACUAUAAAUUAGCAUGGGG
rnacentral:lncRNA from 1 species